UCUGACUUCCCUUAUUGAGAGACUACCUGUGAUUGUGAGCCUGGGCUUGGAAAAAAUAUUUAAAAAAUAAUACUUAGUAUUGUUCUUUUUAUUCUAUGGGGUGGAAUCGGUGGAUGAGAAGGACAACUAUUUUUGGUGGGUCGAUGAGCUUGCAGCGGCGAACG